GAGUUUGAUCAUGGCUCAGAUUGAACGCUGGCGGAAUGCUUUACACAUGCAAGUCGAGCGGCAGCGCGGGGCAACCUGGCGGCGAGCGGCGAACGGGUGAGUAAUGCAUCGGAACAUGUCCAUGUCGUGGGGGAUAGCCCGGCGAAAGCCGGAUUAAUACCGCAUACGCCCGAGAGGGGAAAGUGGGGGACCGCAAGGCCUCACGCGAUUGGGUUGGCCGAUGUCCGAUUAGCUAGUUGGCGGGGUAAGAGCCCACCAAGGCGAUGAUCGGUAGCUGGUCUGAGAGGAUGAUCAGCCACACUGGGACUGAGACACGGCCCAGACUCCUACGGGAGGCAGCAGUGGGGAAUUUUGGACAAUGGGGGCAACCCUGAUCCAGCCAUUCCGCGUGAGUGAAGAAGGCCUUCGGUUGUAAG
rnacentral:rRNA from 1 species